UGGGUAUAUCAUAAGAUUGAUGUUCUCUUUACUAGACUUGGUUUUGUAUGAGUGGAAUAAAUAUUAGACCCCAAGAUUUUACCUUAUGUGUUUGUGAUGUGAUUUUGUUAUUUGAUUAUUGUGUCCUAGAGUUGAGAGGAUGCCGCUUAGAGUGCUAUUUUUGGGGUGUGUGCUUGCUCUUAUUGAGAAUUGCCAUAAACGAAGCCAACUUCAGUAAUGAUGAAUUAGUUUUAGUCUCCAGCUGAAUUUGUAGGGCUCGCCAAAUUCAGGUUUUAGUUUCUUGAAAUGGUGCAUAUUCGAUGCUCAUUGUACUAGCUAGGAUUAUCGGAAGUUGUGAAAAAAAAUGGAAAUCGAUCCUUACGGUUGUCAAGGCUGAAUACAUCACCAUGCGCAAAGAGAGGCCAACAGAUCAUAGUAUGAUUCUAAUUAAGAACUUGAGGAUGACGAUGACGGAUGACCACAUACAUUCGUGGUGACAGGCCUGUCUUAUGUGACAAAAGGUUGUACUUCAAGUAUCGAAGUUGCAACCAGAUAUAAUCAUGGAGUUCCAAGGUAUAGUUGAGACAUGUACUUAUGUGGUUUGGUAGCAGCAAGAGAAGACUUUAGAAGAAUGUCAUAUUGCUGAACAUAUAAACCCAGGUGAGAGCUGAAUAUUGAAUAGGGAGAAUUCUAGGGUGAUGGGAUGUUCUAGCCGAGGACGUGAGAAUUCACAAAGAGCAUCUUAUUGUCUCAAUAAGAACAUUUUUGCUGCUGAGAAGGUCUUUCUGUAUCUAGCAAUAAGUUGCAGGUAUUUAGAAUCAAAUUUUCAAUUUUUUCAGAUAGUUUUUGUCUGUAGAGUUGAUAAUUCUUCCAUUCUCUGCAUUGAUGAUCAAUCAAGAAAAUAAGUGACCAAAGGUGUUCCUAAGAAAAGUAACACUUUGUCUUACUCAAAUUUGAGCAACCGAAGUUCAACCAAAGGUGAUGCUCGGGCCUGUCUGGGACCAUCUAUGAAGGAGAUGAUAUUCUCACUGUUUGUGGUCAUUUCGAUGGCUAUUUUCCAUCUGUCACAUAAAACUAUAUUUUUUAUCUCUACCUCUGAAAGCAGGUCAUCCUGAAUUUGA